GACGAACGCUGGCGGCGUGCUUAACACAUGCAAGUCGAACGGAAAGGCCCUGCUUUUGUGGGGUGCUCGAGUGGCGAACGGGUGAGUAACACGUGAGUAACCUGCCCUUGACUUUGGGAUAACUUCAGGAAACUGGGGCUAAUACCGGAUAGGAGCUCCUGCUGCAUGGUGGGGGUUGGAAAGUUUCGGCGGUUGGGGAUGGACUCGCGGCUUAUCAGCUUGUUGGUGGGGUAGUGGCUUACCAAGGCUUUGACGGGUAGCCGGCCUGAGAGGGUGACCGGCCACAUUGGGACUGAGAUACGGCCCAGACUCCUACGGGAGGCAGCAGUGGGGAAGAUUGCACAAGGGGCGGAAGCCUGAUGCAGCAACGCCGCGUGCGGGAUGACGGCCUUCGGGUUGUAAACCGCAGUCGCCUGUGACGAAGCGUGAGUGACGGUAAUGGGUAAAGAAGCACCGGCUAACUACGUG
rnacentral:rRNA from 1 species